GAAAAACUCCAGCCGCCAGGUUGAGCCCCGCCCGGCCCUGCCCUCCACACCCGAUUGGCCGGCGCCCCGCCCCUGCACAUUCUGAUUGGUGAAGAGAGCCGCCGCUCCGUUGAGUGAUUCACCGUCGCCAGGUGCAACCCCGCCCAUUACUCCCCUCUGGGGCCGCAAUGCUCGGGUCCCUGCUCCAACUGCUCUGAUUGGCUGAGGAGAUUGUCAAGCAAGGAAACGAAUCCCUCACCUGCUACAGCUUGCUGUUUGUCUUUUGACUUAUGUGGUAUAUUUGUGUGAGAACAUGCCUGUGUUUGCAUGCAUCAUGAAGAAUGUUCUGGGCUUCUUUGUUUUGUACCUUCUGUACAAAUGUUUUCACCCACUUUAAGCCAGGAUGGUGGCACAAGCCUGUAAUUCCAGCAAUUCAGAAGGAUGAGGCAGGAGGAUCUCAAGUUCCAGGCCACCCAGAAUAACUUGGUGAGUCUCAAAAUGGGGGGAAAAAAUUAAGGGCAAAAAAAAAAAAAUUUUUUUUAAAUAGUGCUUGCUUUGGCAGCAUAUAUAUUUAAUUGGAAUGCCUUCUUGAAUAGCUGAUAGACCAAAAAAAAAUUAGAAUAAAUGUGAACAACAUAUAUAAAAUACCUAAAACUGCAAAGUAUAUUCUCUUUUCAAGCAUUCAUGGGCCAUUUAAAAAAAGUGGCCACAAGCUGGGUGGGGGGCACACACCUGUAAUCCCAGCAGUUUGGGAGGCUAAGGUAGGAGGAUUGAAAAUUCAAAGCCAGCCUCAGCAAAAAGCAAGGCAUUAAGCAACUCAAUGAGACCCUCUAGCAAAAUAUAUACAAAAAUGGGCUAUCAGUCGCUUACCACCCAGCACCACAAAAAAAAAAAAAAAAAAAAAAAAUUGAGCCGGUGUGGUGGUGCAUGCCUGUAAUCCCAGCGGUUUGGGAGGCUGAAGCAGGAGGAUCGCCGAGUUCAAAAUCAGCCUCAGCAAAAGCGAGAUGGUAAGCAACUUAGUGAGACCCUGUCUCUAAAUAAAAUAUGAAAUAGGGCUGGGGAUGUAGCUCAGUGGUCAAGUGCCUCUGAGUUCAAUCCCUAAUACCCGCGCCCCGCCCCCCUAAAAAAAAAAGGUGGCCACAAAUCAAGUCUCAACACAUUUUGUUUUUUGUUGAAAGAGAUCAAAAUCAAGGCCUCGAACAUGCUAACCAGGCACUCUACCACUGACCUACAUCCCCAGCUCUUUAAGUUUUUAUUUUGGGACAGGGUCUCAAUAAAUUACCCAGGCUGACCUUGAACUUUUUUUUUUUAAGAGAGAGAGAGAAUUUUAAUAUUUAUUUUUUAGUUAUCGGUGGACACAACAUCUUUGUUUGUAUGUGGUGCUGAGGAUGGAACCUGGGCCACACGCAUGCCAGGCGAGCGCACUACUGCUUUAGCCACAUCCCCAGCCCUGGCCUUGAACUUUUGAUCCUCCUGCCUCAGUCUCCUGAGUAGCUGAGAUUACAGGUGUGUGCUAUUGUGCAAAAUUAUCUUUUAUUAAACAUAUUUUCCUUUUAUUAUGACAUACUUUCACACUUCCAAUCAUGAUAUCUUCCAUCAAAUUUCAUUGAUAUUUAUGCUAUUGCAUUUAGCUCUUUGUGUGUAUUGUAUAUACUCUCAUAUAUAACUAUAAAUCCAUAUGUUCUAUAUGAUAGGUAUUAACACAACAAUCCAAGGAAACUUCUGUCUUUUUGGUACUAGGAAUUGAAUUGAACUCAGGAGCACUUUACUACUGAGCUACAUUCCAGUCCUUUUUUUUUUUUUUUUUUCUUUGUGAGACAGGGUCUUGUUAAGUUGCUAAGGAUCUCAUAAAGUUGCUGAGGCUGACCUCAAACUUGGGAUCCUCCUCCCAAGUAGCUAACAGGCAUACACCACAAAAUCCAGCAAAGCCUUACAAGUUCCAUUUUACAAAUGAGAAUAGUGAGAGUUGAAAUAGUUAAAAGUAUCUUAAAGUCACCUCAGUUGGGCUAAGCCAGAACUAGAACUCAGAACUCUCUCAGAAUCUUUACUCUUUCCAUAGUAACAUCCUGGCAUUCAUGAGUACCGUUUCCAACUUUUCACCUCACAUUUUCCCCUGGGAAUUACUAAAUGCCUCCCUGAAAAUUCAUCUACUAAGUAUCUCCUAUGUGAGAGGUUUUGGUUUCAUUGUUGGCCAUAACAAUAAAAUAAACAACCCCUCUGCUCAAAGAACUCAGUCUAGAGGAGAAUGUAAAUUAUUAAUAUAGUGUGAUAAAUGCUACAAUAGAGGUAUGUGCUUUGUCUACUAUUCUGCAUCUUGUGUUCUUCAUGGAAUCCAGUUAUAUAAUUUUAUCUGCUAUUUUUCUCCCUUCUCCUUGAGUUUAAAAGCCCUCUUGAUGAGACCAACAAAUCUCCUGCCAAAUACAUUCUUCUAAUUCUUGUGAAAUUCAGAGGGUACAAAAGACUGGAAGUUUCCCAAACAGCAGAAAUGAUGAGCGAAGGUCUGAUCUAGAAAGGAAGAAGGUCUACUUAAGGACAAAAAGAUUCCUGAAGCUCUUGAUUUAAUCCCCAGCAACACACACACACACACACCUAGAAAUCACCUGAACCAGUGUAGUGAUUCACACCUGUAAUCCCGCCUACUGGGGAAGACGGACAGCCAAGUUUGAGGACAGCCUGGACAAUUUAGCAAGACCCUGAGUGGAAAUAAAAAUCAAAAGGGCUAGGGAUAUAGCUCAAUAUAGAGUGUCACUGAAUUCAAACCCCAGUACUGGGGGGGGGGGGGCGAAUUCUGAUGAGAGCGAGUACUGGAAGGCUACUUUGAAAAUGAAGGUUGAUGCACUACAGAUUGCUCAAAAGGCCAGGCUGAGACACGUGCUCCAGUCACUAGGCAAAGAAGACCUAUUGUAUAUUAUCAACUCUGACUGAUAAGAUAAAAAUGUUAUUUUAAGAUUGGCUAUGCAGUGAUGCUUCAAAAAGGCUGAAAUUAGAAAGUUCUGAAGGUCAAAAGCUAAUAAAGCUCAACAAACACCUACUGAAAACUCACAUUCACCGAGGUAAGAAAAUGAAAGCCAGUCCCUACUUUUGAAGUGCCUACCCAAUUAGGAGGGGAAACAAACAAACAAACAAAAAUAUAGUAAUGUAAAGUUUGGCACAGUGGCGCACACCUGUAAUUCCAGUUACUUGUGAGGCUGAGGAAGGGGGAUUUCAAGUUUGGGGCCAGUCUGGGCAAUUUAGCAAGACUCUGUCUCAAAAUAAAAAAAAGAGACUGAAGAUGAAGCUCAGCAGUAGUGCACCCAGUUCAAUUCUCAGUACUCAAAAAAAAAAAAAAAAAAGUAUAACACAUAUGAUGAACACAUGAAGCUCAGCAGUAGUGCACCCAGUUAAAUUCUCAGUACUCAAAAAAAAAAAAAAGUAUAACACAUAUGAUGAACACAUUAUGACAUAUGCAUAUGGUAAACAUAAACCUGGUAUAAAGUAGGAUGAAAGAGGAAGUCCAAUUUAGUAUGAAAAGGAAGGCAGAAGAAGGCAAGCUAAGUGCAUGUAGCUGGUGAGCCCUAAUGCUGGAGCUUCACCUGCUGAAACAGGUAGUUAUGAGGAAAGGGAAAGAGAACUUUAAAGGUAAUGGCCUGGAACUGCCUGUUAGGGUUAUUAACCAAACAGUUAAUGAGGGAGAAAGAGGAAUGUUCUUUUAACAAUGAUCAAACCAGAGGGCAUGGUUAUAUAGUAAGCCAGAUCACUUUACUUCUAGGAUUCUUAACUUUGAACUAUAAAACAGAAAGAAGCAAAAGAUAGAUGUUGGCAGGCCAGGAAGGGUGCUAGAAAACUUAUCUAUAGUGAUAGAAAGUGGUUGCUUAAAAAGAGAGAAAGGGAGAGAUUGGAAGUGGCACCUGGAAAAAACCUGGGGAUUUCUGUGUUCUAAAUCUUAUUUAGGGGUGGGCUGGGUGGUGGCUCAGUGGUAGAGUGCUUGCCUUGCACAUUCAAGGCCCUGGGUUCAAUCGUCAGCACACAUAUAAAAUAAUUAAAAUAAAGGUAUUGUGCCCAACUACAACUAAAAUAAAUAAAAUAAAUAUUAAAAAGUAAAUAAAUCUUAUUUAGGGAAAUGGUUACAAGGGAGCAUACCCCAAACUCAAUGAAUUAAACACUUAAGAACUGUGCAUUUUAUUAUAGAUAAAUUAUGCCUCAGUAAUAAUAGUAAUGAGGAAAUGUUAUAAUCUAUCACAAAGAUUGAGGGAGGGGAAAAAAGAAACAAGAAUAGUUAAGACUCAGAGAGGAAAUUGGACCACAGGAGAAACUUCCCAAAGGGAUUUGGUUAUUUGAGGAAAGAAUAAAUGACACAAUUUGCCCUUUCAACUUUAUCUUCUGACCCAACAAUGUCUGGCUAAACUCAGAUUAGCUCAGGGAGAAAGUAGGAUAGCUUUGAGGCCGAGAAGUUGGGGAGUCCAGAUGAAUGAGGAUUUUAUAAUGUGGAUGGUGAGAGAAAAGAUGUAGGAGGGCUGGCAAUAAUCCAGAAAGCAGAAGGGAAGAGGAAAAGAAGGUGAGAAAAAAAAAAAAAAAAGCAAAGAAUGUAAGAAAUGUAGGAAGGAAUUUUCUCAGAAACUUGAAAAAACAGAAAAUUGAAUCCACCUCUGGCCCAACCUUCUCUUCCACAGAUAAAAGAAUAAAAUUUUAAAAAAUCAAACUUAGGGGGAAAAAAACUCUGCCAUUGAAAGGUCUCAAGGAGCCAGGCACAGAGGCACAUGCCUGUAAUCCCAGCUACUCAGGAAGCUGAGGCAGGAGGGUUGCAAGUUCAAAGCCACUUAGCAACUUAGCAAAAUUCUGUCUCAAAAUUAAAAAUAAAUAAAAGGACUGCAGAUGGAAUGCAGUGGUAAAGUACCCUUAGGUUCAAUCUCCAGUACCAAAACAAAACCAAAAAAGCCUCAAAAGAUAUGCAUCAAAGUAUAUGCACCAUAUUAAAGGGAAGUUAGAUGCUUGCUGCAUUGUGUUGAAUUUAGUUUCAGUAAGUAUUUGCCAUUUCAGGUUUUUUGUUUGUUUGUUUUUUAAUCAACUAAAUUUAGCAAAAUUUAGUUGGAAUCAGAACAGUGUUGACAAAAAUCAGGGAAUUGUUUGGGGUGGCAAAGGAAGGGCUCCUCAUACCUGUAACACGUAUAUGACACAUAAAUAUAGGGAUAAAGGGUAUCAUCAAUUCUCUUUUACCCAAAGGCCUGGAAUUGCUUUUCAUUUCCUGAACUCUAAAACAAAGUCUGAAGAAAGUGAUAUUGGGGCUCACGAGCAAUAGUAGGCAAACUCUUCCUAUAAAGGGCUUAAGAGUAAAAAUUUUAGGCUUUGAAGGAUAUACAGUUUCUGUCAUUAUUCUGCCAGUUUUGCACAAAAGUAGCCAUAAACAAUUCAAAAAGGAAUGAUCACAGCAAUAUGGAUAGCUGGAGCUAUUAGUUUGUGGACCUCUGGUAUAAAGAGCAGUGAUAACUAGUUUCUUACUGCAUAUUAGAUUCAUCAGAGGAGCUAAAAAAAAAAAAAAAUCCACAAAUGCCCAGGUCCCACCCCACCAACAUAAUCUGGGGUUGGGCCCAAUUUUAUUUUGGGUGGGAGGGGGAUACCAGGAAUGAACUCAGGGGCACUCAACCACUGAGCCACAUCCCCAGCCCUAUUUUUAUUUUUUAUUUAGAGACAGGGUCUCACUGAGUUGCUUAGGGCCUCGUUUUGCUAAGGCUGACUUCAAAUAACUGGUGAUCCUCCUAUCUCAGUCUCCUAAGCAGCCGUCUACUGGGAUUACAGGCAUGAGCCACCACAUCCGGCCUUUUUUUUUUUUUUAGAUGAGGUCUUGCUCUGUUGUUCAGGGUGGCCCUGCUGGGCUCAAAUAGUCCUACUGUCUCAGGUUUCUGACAGGAUGGGACAUAGGCACAAGACAUUACCCCCAGACCAAGCUUUUUUUUUUUUUUAAGUUUCUAGGCCAUGUACACCCUAAAAACAACUGUUCUAGAAGGAGAAUUAUAGUUACCCAGGCAACUGCUAGAAUUUGGGGGUAAGGCCAGGUAAAUAAAUGCUGGAAAGAUAAAUGAUCCAGCACUGAAUUGAGGUGUAGAUUAAUAUUAGAACCAUUUUCUUUCUUUCUUUUUUGCCAUACUGUACUGGGGAUUGAACCCAGUCACUCUUUCUUUCUUUCAAACCACAGGAUCUCAAUAAAUUGCCUACUGGCUUUGAAUUUGCAGUUCUCCUGCCUUAGCCUCUCAAGUAGUUGGUAUUACAGGCAUGUACCACCACACCCAGCCAGACCCAUUUUCUGCCUGCCUAACAAAUUAAGUACUUCCAAUACUUGAUAAAAUGUUCUUUAUUAAUGUUUCUGUGUGCAAAGCACUAAAAGGAGUUGCCUAGCCCAGCAAGUCAUCUCCUUCAUCACCCUUUGUUAAGGUGGGAGGGAGAGAUAAGGGUUCUGCCUAACCCUCUUUCUCGAACCAUUCCUUAUAGGCCCCAGCAUAGUUUCGAGCCCUGUGGAAACAAAGAGGGGUAAGGGAAGGACAGGCCCAAUAGGCAGUCCCCAAUCACUUCCCAGCUAGCAAGCCACACGUUGCCCAUGCCCAUACCCUGUGUAUCCAAGGCGCCGGGCCAGCUGUGUGGCCUGGAAGCCCCGUUUUCCCAUUUGACAGAAGAAAACAAGAUUCUCAUCUUCUUGCUUUGGCUUCUCAGUGCGGUACAAUGCUUUGAAUGCAGCUGGCUCCAUCUGCAGGGCACUUUCCAACUCGGACACUGGGAGAGGAGUCCAGAGAAUAAAUGGAAAGCAAGUCUUGAUUCUCAGGGUCAGAAAUCAGGCAAGAAGAGCUGGUGAUGGAACAAAAUCUCCAGGCCCCGAACCAAUAUAUGGUGGCCACCUCCCACCCUGUCAAAGUCAAGAAACAGCUUACCCUUAAGGAAAUUUGCCAAA